rnacentral:lncRNA from 1 species
AAAAUGCGGCACUAAUUGGCAUAAGCAGGAAUGACUUAAGCCAAUUGAAAUGUAAAGUGCAUAACAAUUUCAGAACAUCUUAUGUUUAAACCAUUGAAACUUUUGAAAGGCAAUUAAGAAGUUUGCUGAAAUAACACAAAAAUCUAGUAGUCACUCAAACAGGAUAGGUUAUUGAAUUCAUAUCUUAUUCAAACUUCAUACUAAAACCUAGUUAAACAUGCUUGAUUUUACUACACACUUUUUCAUAAAACAACCAUCCAAAUCAACCUAAAAUCACUGACAUUUGCAAAUCAGAGCACCUCUUUUACUUUUAGCCAUUCUCAAAGGAGACUUUACCAACAGAAGAAACAACAACCUAAUAGCUUCAGCCUUCAAACACAUGUUCAUUCUUAUCAACAUGAUCAACUAGAAUUGACUUCAACAAACAACUUGAAGGAUUAUUAGACUCCACAUCUCUAUAUGGUAAAUUUUGAUUUCAAACCAAAAAUACUAGUCGACACCUUCAAGCAAUUUUCUCCUGCAAAAUAUUUAACAGUUCAUUCAUACAAAUACAAUUCAAAUACUAUUACAAUGCCAAACAUUUUGAAAUUUAACACUCAAUCUAAAUAGCCAAACCUCCUUAAGCUACUAACAUGAACCAGCAAACAAACACAAACAAGAAACUACUUUACGACAAAACUGAAGAGUUUAAUCACAUAAAACAGCAGAAACUAGCAAUAAUUACAUAAAGAAGAAGUGAGGCUAAUAAAAUACUGCAAAAGUAGAACCCAUCAACAUGAAUUAAACCAGCAAACCAAUCUCAAACCAAGAGAGUGAAGUACAAUAAUCCAGAAAUAAGUCUCAGUAAAACAAUAACCCAAAACACCUCAAACUCAAAUCAAAAUAGGAUUCACACACAAACUUAGCUAAGAAUCAGCUUUCAAAAACAACAAAUUAAACCAUCUUCAAACAUGUAUAAGUAAGAGAUUGCCCCAGAAAUUCAAAACCUCAGUAAUUAAAGCAAGAAAAUCUAUGGAAGAGUAGUUUUUGAUCCAAUUUUCAGCUGUUUUUAUUUUUAUGGACUUGUAUCCCUUCCCAGUCCCCUUAAAAUACAAGGAAGAGAUGCCUCUAUAGGCAAGGAAGUAGGGCAUUACCAAUGUCACUAUGUUUUAACCCUAAUCCUUUUCAUAUUUUUAUUUUUGCUCAACUUCCCCUAAUAUAAUUAUAAAUUUAUCAAAAACAGCCUCCACCGUGCUUCCUUGGCGCUUCUAUUUCAGUUAACAAAGAUUCCCCUAAGCAAUUACCCAAAAAUACCCUUGACAGCCCUGUUAUUUACUCUCAGCAAAUUACCUAGGUCAAGUAGACCCAUUGUUUCCAUUCUAACUAUGGGCUGACCCACUUCACUCUUGACCCGAAAAUGAAUUUAGUUCACAAAAUCAGUUGGGCAGAAAAAUAGACGGGCAAGGGAAUUCAAUAGACCCUUGGACAAAAAUCCCAAUUCAGCUCGUAACUCUAAAAAUAAACAGCAAUUGAAUCAAACAAAUAUAAAAAAUCCAAAUAAACUAAUCAAAAAGUAAAAAACAAAUGGCAAUUAACCCCUGAUUUAACAUAAAAGGAACACAUGCAACAUGAUUUUAAGAACACAGAAAGGAAGGAGUAGAGGAAGAUAAUAAUAAAAGAAGGAAAACAUGGAAAAGAUAAAACAAGGAAUACUUACUAGUGGACCACCGUCUCAAAAUAAGCUUCAAUGAAUCUUCGGAUUUGUGGCCGAAAUAAACUUAAUCCUGGGUUCUCGACUGAGGACACACAAGUAAAACUGAAUUCGUCCUCAAACCUUCAAACAACUAAUGAUUUGGAUUUUUUGCGAUUUUAGGUUUUAGGAUUUUGAUUCCAGAUUC